UACGGAGGGUGCAAGCGUUAAUCGGAAUUACUGGCGUAAAGCGCACGCAGGUGGCUGAGUCAGUCGAUUGUGAAAUCCCUCGGCUCAACCGGGGAACUGCGUCUGAUACUGGGUGGCUUGAAUCCGGGAGAGGGAUGCGGAAUUCCAGGUGUAGCGGUGAAAUGCGUAGAUAUCUGGAGGAACACCGGUGGCGAAGGCGGCAUCCUGGACCGGCAUUGACGCUGAGGCGCGAAAGCCAGGGGAGCAAACGGG
rnacentral:rRNA from 1 species